AAAUGGGUUGGGUGUGCUUGGAAAGGCAGCGCUGGUUUUUUUUUUCCCUUGAGACUUGGCCACACUACAAUCGGACCAGGCUGGAAAGGAGUGUCCUGCUGUGAGUUCCCUGUUUGUGCAGCAGCACUAUUUGCAUUCACGCCGGGCUGCAUGUGUUUAAUUAAUUACUUGGUAGACAGGCACUCACGGUAGCUGGGUUCUAGUCCCAGUUCACCCAAGGUCACCCUGCAGGCCAGUAGUUAAUUCCUACCAUGCUCUGUGCCUCAGUUUCCCCCUCUCUAGAAUGAUAACAACCCUGCUCUAAUACUCCGUGUCAUUAUUUCUGAAGGCAGCUUUGCCCCUAACCUUUCAGCUUGCAGGAGUAGGUUGAGGAGGUGAGUAGUAGGAUGAAUCUCACUCUUUCCUUACACUAUAAGUUGGUGCAAAGGGAGGGCUAAGCCAGGAAGGAUAGCCCCCUCAUGUGCUGCUUCUGCAGCAGGAGGCUGGGGUGCAAAUCCUCCCCAUGCUCCCCUUAAUGCAUUGUAUGAGUCAGUUUAUUUUGGUGAUUAUCCUGGCGGAUCCCUGCCUCACACCUACCCCUCUCAGUCCUCCAGCCCAGGUGGGCAGAGGAGGCAUGUAGUAUUAUGAUCUGAAACUGACUCUAGGGGGCACCCAUGGGUGCAGCAUGGAGUAAAAUAGGUUAGUGGCAGGAGGGGAAGCAGCAAAUCAUAGUUUGUAAACCGUAAGGCUAACUCAGCUUGGUAAGCAGCACACACUUCGGAGAGCCCCCCCUCCUGUUAUCAUCGGGGAGUUUCCCACUUCUACCCUUCUGCAGGGCCCCUAGAGGACACAAUGCUGCCUUCCACCAAUGGAAGAGGAUUUGGGGACUUAGGGUACUGCAGGCCCCUCUGCACCAGCACUUGUCCAGCUGCAGAGCAGAAGAGCUGAAACCAGGAGAGGAGCUUGGAGCCAUGUCCCACCCACCCAGGAAGCUGUAUUCCUCUCCUAUGCUGAACUUAAGCCCACUGUGCUGGGCAGUGGCAUGAAGGGAGCAUGUCCUAGCCCUGCAGGCUUCUGUCAUCAUGUACAGCCCACCUGAAGGCCUGUAUGCUGAAGAGGAGGAGAGACACCUACACAAGUCGAGAAGGAAAAGCAGGGGGCUAGAUGUCUUCACUCAUUCUAUGACCUCUCACUCCAGGUACACAGAUGAACCUACCAUAACCACAGGGGAAGAGGACUUGGGACCAACAUCCCAAUUGCCAGCCCUCUGCAGGAGCAGCCAGCCAGAGAGACAGUCCCAAGCCAGGGACCAGUUCAGGCCCAGCAGGGCAGGUCCACAUACCAACCCAGCCAGUCUCCACUACGCUCCAUAGUAAAUCAGCUGGCAGUGACAUGUGCACAGGGCUGGGGCUUUCAGGUUUUUUUUUAAUUUAGUUUUCUUGGAAAAAAAAAAAAAACAGUAAGGCAAAAAACCCAAAACUAGAAGUGGAGGGAUUUUUUCUUUUUUUAAAUUUAAAUCUACCAGUGUCCCUCUCAUGGAAAUAGAGGGCCCAUGCCCCCUCUGUGCCUUCUCCUGUCCCAACGAGCAGGGAGCGGCUAGCACUGGGCUUGGCCUCAUCUCACCGAGCUGGCGAGAGGGGACCCGCCCCGUCCAGCCAGCAGUCUAGGCACAGGCAGCACAAGCACUGCCUCUUCACCCUGUUGGCAGAGAAGGUGGAGGGGGGGGAAGGAACCCAGAAUGAAACA